AUGAACGCUGGCGGCGUGCCUAAUACAUGCAAGUCGAGCGGAAAGACGCGGAGCUUGCUCCUCUGACGUUAGGGGCGCACGGGUGAGUAACACGUGGAUAACCUACCUAUAAUUCUGGGAUCACUUCGGGACACCGGCGCUAAUACCGGAUAAUCUCUUGAACCGCAUGGUUCAAUAGUGAAAGACGGUUUUGCUGUCACUUAUCGCUGGAUCUGGGCUGCAUUAGCUAGUUGGUAAGGUAACGGCUUACCAAGGCAACGAUGCGUAGCCGACCUGCGAGGCGGAUCGGCCGCACGGGAACGGAGACACGGUCCAGACUCCUAAGGGAGGCAGCAGUAGGGAACCGGCCGCAAUGGGCGAAAGCCUGACGGAGCAACGGCGCGUGAGAUACGAAGGUCUUCGGAUCGUAAAACUCUGUUAUGAGUUAAAAACAAAUGUGUAAGUAACUAAGCACGGCGUGACGGUACCUAAUCAGAAAGCCACGGCUAACUACGUG
rnacentral:rRNA from 1 species